rnacentral:rRNA from 1 species
UACAGGGGGUGCAACCGUUGCUCGGAAUCAUUGGGCGUAAAGCGCACGUAGGCGGUUCGUUAUGUCGGAUGUGAAAGCCCUUGGCUUAACCGAGGAAGUGCAUCCGAAACUGGCGAGCUAGAGUACUAAAGAGGAUCGCGGAAUUCCCGGUGUAGAGGUGAAAUUCGUAGAUAUCAGGAGGAACACCGGUGGCGAAGGCGGGUCUCUGGGCCGAUACUGACGCUGAGGAGCGAAAGCGUGGGGAGCGAACAGG